GGGGGAGCGGAAGGGGCGGGCGCGGCCGGGGCGGCUCGGGGGGCACCGGCGCGAUGUUUCUGACGGCGGCGGCCUUGGCCAAGAGCAAAUCUAAACGUGGUACAGGCUGUAGCUGAGUGCCUGUGCAUUGACACAGAGACAUCCCUCUGACUUUAGAUACGUUCUGGUGAGGAUGAAAAGUGCCGCGGAGACGGGCUUCUGUUUCAACAUCAGGAGACUCCGACUACAGGAAAAACUGGUCUUACUGAGAUAUGAUCCCAUUGCAAAACAACGUGUCCUCUUCACAGAGAAGAGAAAAAUCCGCUCUAUGUGAACAGUGACUGGACUUGAUUUAUACAUGAGGAGAGGAUGGUCUGGGGGGAGGACGGGGUGAACGCUGAAUCAGAAAUCCAGCAACAUGGGCUGAAAAGAGAGGAAAUGAACUGGGAUCACCGUCUCCUGUGAUUUGAAGGCCAUUGUGAAUAAAACAAUGUAGAGAGAGAAAAUUCUUAAUGUCUGGACAUAGAUCAUCACAGUAACAUUUAUUUAUCUUUUGAGUUAUUUUUACAGUACUCAAUUAAAAAAAAAAUUAAAUAGCAAA